rnacentral:lncRNA from 1 species
UAACAGGACAGGGGUAUACAGUUGCUUCUCAACUCCAUUCCCAUCUAUCUCAAAACAGUUUAUAUGAACAGUUCCAAUCUGGUUUCCGUCCCCGCCAUAGCACUGAAACGGCCCUUCUGAAAAUCACCAACGACCUCCUUAUUGCAGCUGAUUCCGGUUUACUAUCCAUCCUCAUCCUCCUUGACCUGAGUGCGGCCUUCGACACAAUCUCCCACACCAUCCUCCUCAACAGAUUAUCCUCCAUCGGCAUCACUGGCAUCCCCCUUGACUGGUUCCACUCCUAUCUCUCAGACCGCACUCAGUUCAUCCAACUCAAAUCCUUCCGUUCCCAACCGUCCCCUGUCUCCUCUGGUGUCCCCCAGGGCUCUGUCCUGGGUCCCCUCCUUUUCAUUACCAAUCCACCAAGCCCAACUCCAUUCUUCCUCCCUCAUCCUUGACAGAUUGCCUUUCUGCACUUCAUACCUGGUUCACCUCAAACUUCCUCAAACUUAACAGUGAUAAAACCGAAAUCCUUUUAGUCGGUACUAAAUCCACUCUACUCAAAGUUGACAGUUUUUCCCUCUCAAUUGACAGCUCCAUAGUUUCCCCCUCCCCCCAGGUAAAGAGUCUAGGUGUCAUCGUCGACGGCUCACUCUCCUUCAAAUCUCAUAUCAACAUCUCCACCCGCACCGCCUACUUCCAUCUCCGUAACAUAAAUCGCCUCCGUCCCUCCCUCACCCCCCACACCACCUCUAUUCUUGUACAUAGCCUUGUCACCUCCCGUAUCGACUACUGUAAUUCUCUCCUCUUUGGUCUCCCCCAGAAAUCCCUCCAUAAGCUCCAACUGGUCCAGAACUCAGCUGCCCGUAUCAUCUCCCUCACCCCCUCUUUCCACCACAUCACCCCCAUCCUACAGCAACUCCACUGGCUUCCAAUUCACUUCCGUAUCAACUUUAAAAUUCUUCUUCAUACUUUUAAAGCCAUCCACAACCUUGCCCCUCCUUACCUGUCUGACCUCCUUCACACUGCCACCUCCACCCGCUCCCUCAGAUCCUCCUCUUCCAUCCACCUAACUGUCCCCUCUGCCCGGCUUACCACCAUGGGGAGCAGAGCUUUCAGCCGCUCUGCUCCCAAACUCUGGAACUCACUCCCACCUGACAUCCGAAACAUUGACUCCUUCCCUCAGUUCAAAUCCUCUCUCAAAACCCACCUUUUCAGGAUUGCAUUCUCACUGUAGUUGCCAUGAUGUUUUUACUUG